rnacentral:rRNA from 1 species
GAUGAACGCUGGCGGCGUGCCUAAUACAUGCAAGUCGAGCGAACAGAUGAGGAGCUUGCUCCUCUGACGUUAGCGGCGGACGGGUGAGUAACACGUGGAUGACCUACCUAUAAGACUGGGAUAACUUCGGGAAACCGGAGCUAAUACCGGAUAAUAUAUUGAACCGCAUGGUUCAAUAGUGAAAGACGGUUUUGCUGUCACUUAUAGUUGGAUCCGCGCCGCAUUAGCUAGUUGGUAAGGUAACGGCUUACCAAGGCAACGAUGCGUAGCCGACCUGAGAGGGUGAUCGGCCACACUGGAACUGAGACACGGUCCAGACUCCUACGGGAGGCAGCAGUAGGGAAUCUUCCGCAAUGGGCGAAAGCUUGACGGAGCAACGCCGCGUGAGUGAUGAAGGUCUUCGGAUCGUAAAACUCUGUUAUUAGGGAAGAACAAAUGUGUAAGUAACUAUGCACGUCUUGACGGUACCUAAUCAGAAAGCCACGGCUAACUACGUG